AUUGAACGCUGGCGGCAGGCCUAACACAUGCAAGUCGAGCGGAGCGGCGGACGGGUGAGUAAUGCCUAGUAAUCUGACUGGUAGUGGGGGAUAACGUCCGGACACGGGCGCUAAUACCGCAUACCACCAGUUGAGCCUCGGGCGGAUUAGCUAGUUGGUGGGGUAAAGGCCUACCAAGGCGACGAUCCGUAACUGGUCUGAGAGGAUGAUCAGUCACACUGGAACUGAGACACGGUCCAGACUCCUACGGGAGGCAGCAGUGGGGAAUAUUGGACAAUGGGCGAAAGCCUGAUCCAGCCAUGCCGCGUGUGUGAAGAAGGUCUUCGGAUUGUAAAGCACUUUAAGUAGGGAAGCGGUACCAACAGAAUAAGCACCGGCUAACUUCGUGCCAGCAGCCGCGGUAAUUC
rnacentral:rRNA from 1 species